AACGAACGCUGGCGGCAUGCCUAACACAUGCAAGUCGAACGAGACCUUCGGGUCUAGUGGCGCACGGGUGCGUAACGCGUGGGAACCUUCCCUUAGGUUCGGAAUAACUCCCCGACAGGGGUGCUAAUACCGGAUAAUGUCUUCGGACCAAAGAUUUAUCGCCUUUGGAUGGGCCCGCGUUGGAUUAGCUAGUUGGUAGGGUAAAAGCCUACCAAGGCGACGAUCCAUAGCUGGUCUGAGAGGAUGAUCAGCCACACUGGGACUGAGACACGGCCCAGAAUCCUACGGGAGGAAGCAGUGGGGAAUAGUGGACAAUGGGCGAAAGGCUGAACGAGCAAUGACGCGUGAGUGAUGAAGGCAUUAGGGUUGUAAAGCGCUUGUAACCGGGAUGAUAAUGACAGUACCGGGAGAAUAAGCGCCGGCUAACUCCGUG
rnacentral:rRNA from 1 species